CCGGAAGCGGAAGCAACAGCAGAAGCGGAAGCGGCGUGAGUGCUCGGCGCCCUGGAGUUUCAGGCCGCUUUCUGGGCGAGAGUGGGGAGUCCCCGUACGGACUGAAUUUUGUAUCCAAGAAAGAUACAAUAGCGUUCCAUAGUCUCCUGCCGAAUCUACUGUAAUUGUGGAAAGAUGUCAAAGCAGAAAAGGAUUUCAUAUAAAAUCCCUUUUAAACUGGAGGUAGUGAAGUACGCCAAAGAACAUGGGAACAGAGCAGCGGAGAGACACUUUGGGCCACCUCCAACCGAAAAAAUGAUACGGGAAUGGAGGAAACAGGAGGAUCAACUGCAAAAAACUGACAAAACGAAACAGUGUUUUCGUGGGCAUGCCGCCAAAUGGCCACAGUUAGAAGCAGAUAUGAAAGAGUGGAUCACAAGUCACAGGAACAAUGGCUUUUCGGUAUCUACAAAAAUGAUCAUAUGUGAAGCCAAACGUCUUGCUGCAGAGAGAGGCAUCCAGGACUUCACUGGGUCGCCAUCGUGGUGCCACAGAUUUAUGAAGAGAUGUGGCCUUGCUGUGCACACCAAGACUAGAGUUGCACAAACAAUGCCUAUGGAAUAUGAAUCCAAGACUGUGUCUUUUCACAAAUUCGUACUGGAUGCAAGAAAGAAAAACGGAUUUUAAAUAAGCCAGAUUGGGAACAUGGAUGAAGUCCCGUUAACCUUUGAUGUUCCAUCAAACAAGAUUGUUGAUAUGAACAGUGCCCAAACCAUAACCAUGAAAACCUCAGGGCAUGGUAAAACCCAUCACAUGGUUGUGUUGUCCUGCUGUGCUGAUGGCACCAAACUGCCACCAAUGCUGAUUUUCAAGAGAAAAAGCAUGCUGAAAGAGGCAGUCCCAAGAGGAGUUAUUGUUCAUGUUCACGACAAAGAAUGGGUGGAUAAAAAUGGCGUGAAGAUAUGGACAGAAAAAGUGUGGUCCAAAUGUCCUGGAGGGCUUCUGAAAAAAACCUGCUCUAUUAGUGCUUGACCAGUUUAGGGCACAUAUCACU